CGUGCAGGAAGACUGCCCUAUGGGUUGUAAACUGCUUUUAUCCGGGAAUAAACCUUUCUACGUGUAGGAAGCUGAAUGUACCGGAAGAAUAAGGAUCGGCUAACUCCGUGCCAGCAGCCGCGGUAAUACGGAGGAUCCAAGCGUUAUCCGGAUUUAUUGGGUUUAAAGGGUGCGUAGGCGGCCUGUUAAGUCAGGGGUGAAAGACGGUAGCUCAACUAUCGCAGUGCCCUUGAUACUGAUGGGCUUGAAUGGACUAGAGGUAGGCGGAAUGAGACAAGUAGCGGUGAAAUGCAUAGAUAUGUCUCAGAACACCGAUUGCGAAGGCAGCUUACUAUGGUCUUAUUGACGCUGAGGCACGAAAGCGUGGGGAUCAAACAGGAUUAGAUACCCUGGUAGUCCACGCCCUAAACGAUGAACACUCGCUGUUG
rnacentral:rRNA from 1 species